GAUGAACGCUGGCGGCGUGCCUAAUACAUGCGAGUCGAGCGAACAGAUGAGGAGCUUGCUCCUCUGACGUUAGCGGCGGACGGGUGAGUAACACGUGGAUAACCUACCUAUAAGACUGGGAUAACUUCGGGAAACCGGAGCUAAUACCGGAUAAUAUAUUGAACCGCAUGGUUCAAUAGUGAAAGACGGUCUUGCUGUCACUUAUAGAUGGAUCCGCGCCGCAUUAGCUAGUUGGUAAGGUAACGGCUUACCAAGGCAACGAUGCGUAGCCGACCUGAGAGGGUGAUCGGCCACACUGGAACUGAGGCACGGUCCAGACUCCUACGGGAGGCAGCAGUAGGGAAUCUUCCGCAAUGGGCGAAAGCCUGACGGAGCAACGCCGCGUGAGUGAUGAAGGUCUUCGGAUCGUAAAACUCUGUUAUUAGGGAAGAACAAAUGUGUAAGUAACUAUGCACGUCUUGACGGUACCUAAUCAGAAAGCCACGGCUAACUACGUG
rnacentral:rRNA from 1 species